GGGUGGGUCGAGCGGAGAAGGAGAAAGCAAAGGGAGGAGGUCGCCGGUCGCGGAUGGAGGAGGAGGCAGAGGGGCCGAUCUUGGGCGGUUGGGCCUAUUCACCGGAGAUUUGAAAAAAAAAAAGAGGGUUAGCGUCGUUUACUCACCGGAGGCUUCGUCGUCCUCAUCGGCCCGUCCCUAAUCUCCGUUCACUGCCACCGCUGCCGAUUUGGUCAUCGAGGAAGGAGAAGACGCCAACGGGGUUUGAACAUGGGAAGCCG
rnacentral:lncRNA from 1 species